AAUGCCGAUAUGAGAACAGCGACCUCAGCUGCUCCUAAGGAAGUGAGCAUGAUGGACCUGGAGGACAAAGCAACGAACGCCCUCACUGCAAAUCCUGCCCCAGAGGAUCCAUGGGUGCUAGAGGAAGUGGAAACAUUUCUGUUCUGAGGCUGAUAAUAUGGACAGACAGUAGUGUUUUAAAUAAAUGGUCUGCAUUUUC